rnacentral:lncRNA from 1 species
UGCUCCCACAUAUUUUUAGCAGUCUCAUAAUUCUCAAAUUCUUUGAUCAAAUCAUCGUGCAUACAGCUCAACUUUGUAUAGCGUGCACUACGAUCUUUCUCAAGCCACUCGUUAUAGGCUUGUAAAUCGCGACGGUGCUGAGCCGUCGUGCCUUCUUCAGGCCGAACCAUACUAUUGGUUAAAUGGCUAAGUAUCCCUUUCUCAUUUAGGAGAUAUUGAAUUUUUCUAUACCACAUGUCAUAAUUCGUUCCAUCAAGCCGAUCUUGAUUUAAUAAAUCCGCGAUGGAAAAAUUUUUAGAAGCCAUAUAUCACUACAAUAAUGCACAUAAUUUUAAAUUAGACACAAAUAUCCACAAUAUUAUUCUCAAUCCAAUUUGAUAAUAAAAUUUCUCACUGCAUCUUCAAAUCGAAAAUUUUGCCUUUGAAAAAAACUAAUAAUCAUCUAAUCCAAUGCAGAUAAAAAUAAUAUAUCAAAUUAAUCAAGAAUAAAUCCACAUCACAAAUAAAAUAU